rnacentral:lncRNA from 1 species
AUGUCACUGAAACUGUAUUUCUGGCAUAUUUUCAAGAACUGUCAGAAACGUAUAGUCCGAAUUCUUUAUGGACUAAAUGGUCAAUGCUAAAAUCGAUGGUGACUAUACAUGAGAAACGAGAUAUCACCAAGUUCAAUGAACUACAGGCUUUUUUGAAACGGAAGAGUAAGUUAUAAGCCGAAAAAGUCUGCUGUUUUAUCUCCUAAAGAUGUUAUCAGAUUCCUAAAGGACGCUCCUAAUGAUAUUCAUUUAUUGCAUAAGGUUGUUUUGAUUAUGGGUUAUUUUGAAGGAUGCAGAAGUCAGGAACUUUUGAAUAUGAAGAUAUCGGAUAUAGAGGACCGGGAUUCCGUUAUGGUAGUGAACGUACCGGAAAGUAAAACUGGUGUAUCGAAGAAAUUUACAGUUGUGGAUGAAAAAGAGUUCUCCUCUUUGCCUUUAUUAAGACUUUAUAUGUCUUUGCGUCCUAAAGGUAUUGAACGAUUUUUUUUGAGCUUCCGACAAAAUAAAUGUACAUCUCAGCCAAUUGGAAAAAACAUGUUUGGGAAAAUCCCCAGCAAAAUCGCAAUGUAUUUAGGAUUGCCAAACUCAUCUUCCUAUACGGGACAUUGCCUUCGUCGCACUUCUGCUACUGCUCUAGCCAAUGCAGGAGCAACUAUGACUAACUUAAAAAGACACGGAGGUUGGAAAAGUUCCACGGUGGCGGAGGGGUAUUUGGAGGAUAGCAUCGAAUUGAGAAAUAAAACGGCGCGUAUGUUGUC